rnacentral:rRNA from 1 species
CGAGCGAACAGACGAGGAGCUUGCUCCUCUGACGCUAGCGGCGGACGGGUGAGUAACACGUGGAUAACCUACCUAUAAGACUGGGAUAACUUCGGGAAACCGGAGCUAAUACCGGAUAAUAUAUUGAACCGCAUGGUUCAAUAGUGAAAGACGGUUUUGCUGUCACUUAUAGAUGGAUCCGCGCCGCAUUAGCUAGUUGGUAAGGUAACGGCUUACCAAGGCAACGAUGCGUAGCCGACCUGAGAGGGUGAUCGGCCACACUGGAACUGAGACACGGUCCAGACUCCUACGGGAGGCAGCAGUAGGGAAUCUUCCGCAAUGGGCGAAAGCCUGACGGAGCAACGCCGCGUGAGUGAUGAAGGUCUUCGGAUCGUAAAACUCUGUUAUUAGGGAAGAACAAAUGUGUAAGUAACUAUGCACGUCUUGACGGUACCUAAUCAGAAAGCCACGGCUAACUACGUGCCAGCAGCCGCGGUAAUACGUAGGUGGCAAGCGUUAUCCGGAAUUAUUGGGCGUAAAGCGCGCGUAGGCGGUUUUUUAAGUCUGAUGUGAAAGCCCACGGCUCAACCGUGGAGGGUCAUUGGAAACUGGAAAACUUGAGUGCAGAAGAGGAAAGUGGAAUUCCAUGUGUAGCGGUGAAAUGCGCAGAGAUAUGGAGGAACACCAGUGGCGAAGGCGACUUUCUGGUCUGUAACUGACGCUGAUGUGCGAAAGCGUGGGGAUCAAACAGGAUU